rnacentral:rRNA from 1 species
UACGUAGGGUGCGAGCGUUGCCCGGAUUUAUUGGGCGUAAAGGGCGCGUAGGCGGCUCUGCACGUCCGUUGUGAAAUCGCCCGGCUCAACUGGGCGGGGUCAGCGGAUACGGCGGAGCUUGAGCAAGCUAGGGGGCAAUGGAAUUCCCGGUGUAGUGGUGGAAUGCGUAGAUAUCGGGAGGAACCCCAGUGGCGAAGGCGGCUCUCUGGACCGUAACUGACGCUGAGGCGCGAAAGCGUGGGGAGCAAACAGG